rnacentral:lncRNA from 1 species
GUGGCUCUCGGAGGUGAACUACAGUAACAUUUCAGUUUGUUAUAGUGUCACUAGGAGUUGAACUACUGUAAGAGUUCAGUGUGUUAUAGUGUCUCUAUGAGGUGAACUAAUGUAACAGUUCAGUGUGUUAUAGUGUCACUUGGAGGUGAAAUACUCUCACAGUUCAGUGUGUUUUAGUGUCUCUAUCUUGGAGGUGAACUACAGUAACAAUUCUGUGUGUUAAAAUGUCUCUAGGAGGUGAACUACUGUAACAGUUCAGUGUGGUAUAGUUUCUCUAGGAGGUGAACUACUGUAUCAGUUCACUGUGUUAUAGGGUCAAAAUCUAGGAGGUGAUCUACUGUAACACUUCAGUGUGUUAAAGUG